AGAUUGGAGCUGCCUGUGACAUGCAGAGGUGGAAGCACAGCCUCAGCUGUGGUGGACGGCAGCCUCUUUCAGCCCCCAGGUGCAUAACAAAGGCUGUCUUGAUUGUAUCUGUGAGAGUGCCAUGAUUUGGGGUUUUCUCUGUCGGUUUGGACCAGAUCAGAAAGCAAUUGGGACUAUUGGUGGGAGAAAGAAGCAGAAGGAGAUCCUGGAACCAAAAACACUUCAGCAAUGAAGACUGGAUUUUCUCUGAAAUGAACAACAAAAUAAAAUCUCUCCUGUAGAUCUCUAAAGCUCUGUGCAUACUUUGUCUAUGCUUUCUAGA
rnacentral:lncRNA from 1 species